AUGGGUUGGGGUGCUAUCUUUGUACAUGGGCCUCCACAUGGGUGCGUGAUGCAGGGACAGGAUGUGCCUCCUGGGCUAAUGUUACAGAUCGAUUUGCAUUUACCUCGUUCGACAUGUCAUCACCUUCCUCCCGGCGCACUGGACAAGAGACGGGUCCCCAUGGACGGGAUGAAGUUCUUCUUUGGAGAUGACGAUUCGGGGGUGUUUGUUCUGGGUAAACCAUUGCAUUCCAAUAGCAGAUCAAAACAGUGUGGCUGCACUGCUAUGAUAUGGCUACUGAGGUCGGUCUGGUUCGUAUGGUUACACUGGAAGUCGCAUCAACACAAAGAUAGGUACACCGGGGACAUGGUAAAAGAACUGAGGGAAAACAAUCAUUGCUUCGCUGUGGGUCAUGAUCUUGAAGAGGGUUGCAGCCACUCCGACCCCUUGUUGGCGUUGAUCCCACCGAGCCAUGCAACCACACUGGGACUGAGACACGGCCUGGACUCCAACGGGGGGCAGCAGUGGGGAAUCUUGGACAAUGGGCGAAAGCCCGAUCCAGCAAUAUCGCGUGAGUGA
rnacentral:rRNA from 1 species